rnacentral:tRNA from 1 species
GUGCGCUUGGCGCAGUGGUAGCGCGUCUCCCUCCUAAUUAGGAACAUGUUAGCAUGGCGUAAAUCGGACGGAGGGCGUUUUACUGCCCGAACGUCUGAAGAAUUCCAAGGAGAAAGUCGUGGGUUCGACCCCCACAGUGCAUA